UCCGGUUUGUCACCGGCGGUCCCCUUAGAGUUCCCACCUAAAUGCUGGCAACUAAGGGCAAGGGUUGCGCUCGUUGCGGGACUUAACCCAACAUCUCACGACACGAGCUGACAACAGCCAUGCAGCACCUGUGCUGGCGCCCCGAAGGGGGGACCGGUUUCCCGGUCUUACACCAGCAUGUCAAGCCCAGGUAAGGUUCUUCGCGUUGCCUCGAAUUAAGCCACAUGCUCCGCCGCUUGUGCGGGCCCCCGUCAAUUCCUUUGAGUUUUAGCCUUGCGGCCGUACUCCCCAGGCGGGGUGCUUAAUGCGUUAGCUUCGGCACGGACGGGGUCGAUAUCCGCCCACACCUAGCACCCAACGUUUACGGCUAGGACUAC
rnacentral:misc_RNA from 1 species